AGCAGCCGCGGUAAUUCCAGCUCCAGUAGCGUAUAUUAAAGUUGUUGCAGUUAAAAAGCUCGUAGUUGAAUUUCGGGGUUCAUCCGUUGGUCGGGCUUUUUUGGUCUGUACUGGCGUGAUGGAUUCCUACCUUCUGAAUAACCAGCAUGUCAUUAAUUUGGUGCGCUGGGGAAGCAGGACUGUUACCUUGAAAAAAUUAGAGUGCUUAAAGCAGGCUAUCGCCUGAAUACAUUAGCAUGGAAUAAUGAAAUAGGACGGCAUGGUUCUAUUUUGUUGGUUUCUAGGAUCACCGUAAUGAUUAAUAGGGAUAGUUGGGGGCAUUAGUAUUCAAUUGUCAGAGGUGAAAUUCUUGGAUUUAUUGAAGACUAACUUCUGCGAAAGCAUUUGCCAAGGAUGUUUUCAUUAAUCAAGAACGAAAGUUAGGGGAUCGAAGACGAUCAGAUACCGUCG
rnacentral:rRNA from 1 species